GAGUGGACACAAGAGAAACUCGAGGAAUAUCAGAGGAGUAAACAAAAAGGGGGCUGGUAGAGUCCGCUGAGGAGUAUUAACAUUCAUAUUAGAAGUCUUGAACAAUAACCAGUUUGAAAUAAAAAACAGUCUCGGUAAACAGGCUAAAGUUGAAUCAAAACCCACAUGCAAAAUAUACAACACUUAGAACAAGGAUAGAGUUACCUUCCUUCUUCGCGACCGGAGAAGAACGACCUUCAAUCGCCAGAUAAAACCCUAGGUCUGACCACCGGAAAUCGUAGGGUCCGGAAACUUACCGGAAUAGGGUUAGGGACGUCAGAAAAGCACCCAAAACAUCCACCGAGUGAGGAUCGAGCCAUCGGAUAGCAGUAAAACCCUAGGUCCGAACACCGAAAACCCUAAAAUCUGGAAAGUUACCGGAAUAAAGUCAGGGAUGUCGGAAAAUCACCCAAAACAUCCAUUGAGUGAAGAUCGAACUAUCAAAUAGCAGUAAAAGUUCCGAUUAUCUGUUCAAUACACAUCGAUCUCUCGGUAAACAGAAUCUCUCAUAAAUAUCCAGAGAAAAACCUUCAAUAGAACUUCGAACACGAUCGAUAACAUGUAACGGAGAAGAAUCCGAGGAUCAUCCCGCUCUGAUACCAUGAAAACAUACAGAUUGAAGGUGAGAAACUGAUGAAAACAUAAUCUCUCACAAAUAUCCAGAGAAAAACCUUCAAUAGAACUUCCGACACGAUCGAUAACAAGCAAUGGAGAAGAAUCUGAGGAUCAUCCCGCUCUGAUACCAUGAAAACAUAUAGAUUGAAGGUGAAAAACUGAUGACAGAUACAGUGAGAGAGAGAGAGAAACGAGAGGAGUUGAGAACUCUCUGGAAU
rnacentral:lncRNA from 1 species